ACUCGAGUGGCGAACGGGUGAGUAACACGUGGGUGAUCUGCCCUGCACUUCGGGAUAAGCUUGGGAAACUGGGUCUAAUACCGGAUAGGAGCCAUCUUUAGUGUGGUGGUUGGAAAGUUUUUUCGGUGUAGGAUGAGCUCGCGGCCUAUCAGCUUGUUGGUGGGGUAAUGGCCUACCAAGGCGGCGACGGGUAGCCGGCCUGAGAGGAUGUACGGCCACAUUGGGACUGAGAUACGGCCCAG
rnacentral:rRNA from 1 species